rnacentral:tRNA from 1 species
UCCCUGGUGGCUCAGACGGUAAAGCAUCUGCCUAUAAUGUGGGAGACCCGGGUUCGAUCCCUGGGUCGGGAA